AUUGAACGCUGGCGGCAUGCCUUACACAUGCAAGUCGAACGGCAGCACGGGAGCAAUCCUGGUGGCGAGUGGCGAACGGGUGAGUAAUAUAUCGGAACGUGCCCAGUCGUGGGGAUAACGUAGCGAAAGCUACGCUAAUACCGCAUACGAUCUAUGGAUGAAAGCGGGGGAUCGCAAGACCUCGCGCGAUUGGAGCGGCCGAUAUCAGAUUAGGUAGUUGGUGAGGUAAAGGCUCACCAAGCCGACGAUCUGUAGCUGGUCUGAGAGGACGACCAGCCACACUGGACUGAGACACGGCCCAGACU
rnacentral:rRNA from 1 species